GGAUUAGAUACCCUGGUAGUCCACGCCGUAAACGAUGAGAACUAGAUGUCGGGAGGAAUUGCCUUUCGGUGUCGCAGCUAACGCGUUAAGUUCUCCGCCUGGGGAGUACGCCGGCAACGGUAAAACUCAAAGGAAUUGACGGGGGCCCGCACAAGCGGUGGAGCAUGUGGUUUAAUUCGAGGCAACGCGAAGAACCUUACCAGCCCUUGACAUCCACGGAACAUCUUGGAAACAAGAGGGUGCCUUCGGGAACCGUGAGACAGGUGCUGCAUGGCUGUCGUCAGCUCGUGCCG
rnacentral:rRNA from 1 species